UUUUAACUUAAAGCAUCACUUGUGUUCUAUAUCUUAUAAGGUUCUUAUUCCCAUUUCAGCAAUCAGUGUUUUUUUCUGUUCUUUUUGUUCCCUCAUCAACUGGACCAGAACACUAUAUCUCUAGGAAGAGUCUGCUCAGUUGCUUGAAGCAUGUACAUCCGUGUAGCCAAGGGAGAAACUGACCAAUAGCCUCAAUGGUGAUUAGAAGACAAUUGGUCCCUCGAACUUGUCUUCCAAAGUGAGAGCACCUGGCAGCUUCUGGCAGCUUUCUGUUCCUUCUCUGAAACAAUACAUGCCAUGAUGGUGGGAAAACGGGAUUCCAGCACAGCACUUCUCAGAAAUAACAACAUGAUUGUGACUUCUUUAGUUCAAAGGUCUGAAGCAAUAUGGAAAAGAUGACCUACAUAAUGACCAAACCAAAACUUUGUCACUCUACAGUGGUUCCUCAAAUCCUGCUUUGACAUCAAGCAGCUUCAAUGCAGGUACCAAGAAGGGAGCAGAGAGGAAAGGAUAAUUGGGUCCGUGCUCCCAUUUGAAAGGGAGCUUAUGUUUUCCUGCAACUUUGAUGGAGAUUAAAUAUGUCUUGGCUACUUGGCUCUGACC
rnacentral:lncRNA from 1 species